rnacentral:misc_RNA from 1 species
UCCGGUUUGGCACCGGCAGUCCCCCUAAAGUGCCCGGCUUUACCCGCUGGUAACUAGGGGCGGGGGUUGCGCUCGUUGCGGGACUUAACCCAACAUCUCACGACACGAGCUGACGACAGCCAUGCAGCACCUGUGCACGGACUCCGAAGAGGGGCUGCCCUUUCCGACAGCUUUCCCGUGCAUGUCAAGCCUAGGUAAGGUUCUUCGCGUUGCGUCGAAUUAAACCACAUGCUCCACCGCUUGUGCGGGCCCCCGUCAAUUCCUUUGAGUUUCAGCCUUGCGGCCGUACUCCCCAGGCGGGGCACUUAAUGCGUUAGCGCCGGCACUCAAGGGGUCGCUCCCCCAAGCACCUAGUGCCCAUCGUUUACGGCGUGGACUAC